GGCCCUCUAGCUGUCCGAUCUCAAAGAGUCCCUGGAGGAAGAAAGAGAAAAUGGCAACUCAAACAAUCAAGUCACUGACAUAAGAAAACAGUAACCAGAGAUGAUGUGAGAAGAAAUAAACUGACAGCAUGAUGAAGGCAUGAGAAGGAUAAAAUGAGGAAGUGAGUGGAUGCAAGCUAAAGAGA